rnacentral:rRNA from 1 species
GCGCACCUUCGGGUGAGCGGUGGAAGGGUUAGUAACGCGUGGGAAUAUGCCCAGUUCUAAGGAAUAGCCUCGGGAAACUGAGAGUAAUACCUUAUACGCCCUUCGGGGGAAAGAUUUAUCGGAAUUGGAUUAGCCCGCGUUAGAUUAGGUAGUUGGUGGGGUAAUGGCCUACCAAGCCUACGAUCUAUAGCUGGUUUGAGAGGAUGAUCAGCAACACUGGGACUGAGACACGGCCCAGACUCCUACGGGAGGCAGCAGUGGGGAAUCUUCGGCAAUGGGCGCAAGCCUGACCGAGCCAUGCCGCGUGAGUGAUGAAGGCCUUAGGGUCGUAAAGCUCUUUCGCCAGGGAUGAUAAUGACAGUACCUGGUAAAGAAACCCCGGCUAACUCCGUGCCAGCAGCCGCGGUAAUACGGAGGGGGUUAGCGUUGUUCGGAAUUACUGGGCGUAAAGCGCGCGUAGGCGGAUUAGUAAGUCAGAGGUGAAAUCCCGGGGCUCAACCCCGGAACUGCCUUUGAUACUGCUAGUCUAGAGAUCGAGAGAGGUGAGUGGAAUUCCGAGUGUAGAGGUGAAAUUCGUAGAUAUUCGGAGGAACACCAGUGGCGAAGGCGGCUCACUGGCUCGAUACUGACGCUGAGGUGCGAAAGUGUGGGGAGCAAACAGGAUUAGAUACCCCUGGUAGUCCACACCGUAAACGAUGAAUGCCAGUCGUCGGGUAGUAUACUAUUCGGUGA